AAUCUUCCGCAAUGGGCGAAAGCCUGACGGAGCAACGCCGCGUGAGCGAAGAAGGCCUUCGGGUUGUAAAGCUCUGUGAUAUCAGACGAACGUUCUUCCUGCGAAGAGUGGGAAGGAAUGACGGUAUGGUAAGAGGAAGCCCCGGCUAACUACGUGCCAGCAGCCGCGGUAAUACGUAGGGGGCGAACGUUGUCCGGAAUGACUGGGCGUAAAGGGCGAGUAGGUGGUUUGCCAAGUCAGGAGUGAAAACUCCGGGCUCAACUUGGAGAUUGCUACUGAAACUGGCAGACUUGAGUGCAGGAGAGGGAAGCGGAAUUCCUAGUGUAGCGGUGAAAUGCGUAGAUAUUAGGAGGAACACCGGUGGCGAAGGCGGCUUCCUGGCCUGUAACUGACACUGAGGCGCGAAAGCGUGGGGAGCAAA
rnacentral:rRNA from 1 species